rnacentral:rRNA from 1 species
GACGAACGCUGGCGGCGUGCUUAACACAUGCAAGUCGAACGGAAAGGCCCUGCUUUUGUGGGGUGCUCGAGUGGCGAACGGGUGAGUAACACGUGAGUAACCUGCCCUUGACUUUGGGAUAACUUCAGGAAACUGGGGCUAAUACCGGAUGAGCUCCUGCUGCAUGGUGGGGGUUGGAAAGUUUCGGCGGUUGGGGAUGGACUCGCGGCUUAUCAGCUUGUUGGUGGGGUAGUGGCUUACCAAGGCUUUGACGGGUAGCCGGCCUGAGAGGGUGACCGGCCACAUUGGGACUGAGAGACGGCCCAGACUCCUACGGGAGGCAGCAGUGGGGAAUAUUGCACAAUGGGCGGAAGCCUGAUGCAGCAACGCCGCGUGCGGGAUGACGGCCUUCGGGUUGUAAACCGCUUUCGCCUGUGACGAAGCGUGAGUGACGGUAAUGGGUAAAGAAGCACCGGCUAACUACGUG